ACCAAAACAACUUAAAGGGACACUAUAUUCACUAGAACAACUACAGCUUAUUGAAUUUGUUCUGGUGAGUAGAAUCAUUACCUUCAUGCCUUUUGCUGUAAACACUGUCUUUUCAGAGAAAAUGCAGUGUUUACAUUACAGCCUAGUGAAAACUUCACUGGCCACUCCUCAGAUAGCUGCUAGAGAUCCUUCCUGGGUUAUGGCUGCCUAAAAUGCAUCCAAACAUUCAGUGUCUCCUCCCUCUGCAUGCAGACACUGAACUUUCCUCAUAGAGAUUCAUUGAUUCAAUUCAUCUCUAUGAGGAGAUGCUGAUUGGCCAGGGCUAUGUUUGAAUUGUGCUGGCUCUUCCCCUGAUCUGCCUCUUUGUCAGUCUCAGGCAAUCCUAAGGAGAAGCAUUGUGAUUGGAUCAGGCUACCACUUCUGCUGAUGUCAGCAGGCAGUGGGCAGGUCUAAAGGAAACAGGCAUAAAGCAUGCAGUUGCAGACUUGAAUACAAGUAAGAUUUACUAUAUUUAGGGAGGCAAGAGGGGACCAGGGGGCUAGAUGGCGGUUGUAACCCUAUAGGGUCAGGAAUACAUGUUUGUGUUCCUGACCCUAUAGUGCUUCUUUAAGCUUAAUGAAGCAGUUAUGAUGUAUAUAUUAUUCCCUCUGAAGUUUCAUUCCUCAAUUCUCUGCCAUUUAGGAGCUAAAUCACUGGUUUCUGUUUAUGCAGCCCUAGCCAUUCAUCCCCUGCUGUGACUGACACAGCCUGUAUAAAAACAAAAUAGUUUCAAUUUCAAUCAGAUGUUACUUACUUAAAAAAAUUUUUUUUAAUUAAAUUCUUUAUUUUUGCGAUGACAACAUUCAAUGAUAGGUUACACUGAGGUUGGAAGGUACUUAUAGGUAAAAUAUAUAUAGCGUACAAUGCAGUAUUACAGGCAUCAAAUUGUAGAAUAACAUUCGUUACAGUAUUCCAGACAAUGUAUUCCUUUGUGAGAAAAGCAAGGACAAGCUGUCAAGGUAUUUUGUUUAAAACAUAGGAAAAAUAAAGGUAUAACAGAAAGGUAGAAAAAGAUUUAGGAAAAAUCACAAUAGUAUGGUCAUUGGGAUGUAUGCACUUUGCUAUGUGAGUAAUGUAGGUGGCAGCCGAAGUUCAUUUGUACCACCGUUCCUGAUGCCACAUUUUCUAUUCAUUUGCAUUUUCUUUUCUUCUUUUGGUUUGUUUUUAGUGGUUUCUAAUGAAACAUUAAGAGUCUCGCUUAUAAGGAUGAACAUGGCAGUGUAGUGCAGUCAAGUCAGUGCCAAAUGUAUUUGUGUGUAGGUUUUAAGUGGUGAGGGACAUUUGUAAUCACUUGGAGCCGAUGUCAGUAGUCAUACAUGGCUGAAAUGUGGCAAAGCCCAAGAGUCAAUGAGGUGCGGAGUAGCAGUAUAAUGAGCUCACCAUUCUGUGAGGUGCAGGAUGCAAUGCAGUCUUGUUGGCCUUUAAAAUUUUUUAUCUCCUGCUCUGUAAAUUGAACUUUAAGGCUCCUGCAGGGUCUAGCAAGGUAUUAACAGAGCAGGAGAAAAUACAUUUUAAAUUAAACACAAUUUGCAGUAAAGGAAGUGUAAACAUUAGAUGACUCUUUACAGGAAGCCUGUGUAACUCACAUGCAGGGAGGUGUGCCUAUGGCAGCAUAAACAAAGUGAUAUAAAUCCUAAAUGCCAGAGAAUUGAGCAGUGAGAACGCAGAGGCAUUAUCUAGACAGCAAAAAUCUGCUUCAUUAAAAGACCACUAUAGUGCCAGGAAAACAAACUAGUUUUCCUGGCACUAUGUAGUCCUUAGGUCCCCCCCACCCUCAUGGCCCCCCUCCAGCUGGGCUGAAGGGGUAAAAACCCCUCCAAGAGCGUCCUCACAUCUAUUCAUAUAGAAUUCUUAGUAUUCCCCCCACAAGAUUCUACUAACUAAAUCACCAUAGUGCUGAAAAAAAACAGUGAGGUGAUCAAUAAAGAAAAAUAGUAAGCCGACGCGCGAUUCAGCGCUUCUAGAGCACCUUCAUCCGGGGCAUUCAAGCCAGCCCCUCACCUAGGUCUCUUUUUAUCUGUCAGUGUAAACCAGUCACAUGGUGACUCCAGCCAAUAGCCACCCUGGAGGGCAUGUAAAUACUUAGACAAUUAACUGAUACCUUCUCUCCGAUUUUGCCCCUAGCAUACCACCCAUGUGUGGAGAGUCACUCCCUCCUCCACAGCUCAUCAACGCAAUGAGGAGGAUGGGAGGAGUCACACUAGGCGGAAUCAUGUUCAAAGUGUGUGGUCUCCUAACGUAUGAUUACCUAAUAACCCACAUCAAAGGGGUUUAAGAGGGGGUGAACACUUUAAAACACAAGUGUUGAACACCCAUGCUUAUUACCAUGUCCCAUAUUCAAUGAUAUGGUGGGUUAUUUACAUCAAUGUAUGGCAUUCCAGUAUACAGCAGCCAAUAUUACUUUGAAGUUGGUAACCACACAGUAAAGAUUAUAUGGUCACCUGUUCAUUAAUUUAGAUAAAAAAUUAUGCACUAAAGAAAACAUAACAUAGAAAGUGUAAUAAAUGAUUUUUUUUUUAGCACUAUGGUGAUUUAGUUAGUAAAAUCUUAUGGGGGGAAUACUAAGAAUUCUAUAUGAAUAGAUGUGAGGACGCUCUUGGAGGGAGUUUUAUGGCUGGACUUGGUGAAUAACUGGGGUAUUCUCUGGGAGUCUUAGGGUAGAGAAUGACUGGUUAUUUGUUUGCAUCAAGCCUUCUUUUUGCUUUAAAGGACCAUAUAGUGCCAGGAAAACAUACUCAUUUUCCUGGCACUAUAUUGGCCUGAGGGUGCCCACACCCUCAGGGACCCCCUCCCGCCAGGCUCUGGGGAAAGGAAAGGGUUAAAUCAUACCUUUUUUACAGCGCCAGGCGGGGAGCUCUCCUCCUCCUCCGAUCCUCCUCUUCGGCUGAAUGCGCAUGCGCGGCAGGAGCUGCGCGCGCAUUCAGCCAGUCUCAUAGGAAAGCAUUCAUAAUGCUUUCAUAUGGACGCUGGCGUCUUCUCACUGUGAUUUUCACAGUGAGAAGCAAACAAACGCCUCUAGCGGCUGUCAAUGAGACAGCCACUAGAGGCUUUAGAGGCUGGAUUAACCCUAAUAUAAACAUAGCAGUUUCUAGGAAACUAUGUUUAUAAAAAAAAAGGGUUAAUCCUAGAGGGACCUGGCACCCAGACCACUUCAUUAAGCUGAAGUGGUCUGGGUGCCUAGAGUGGUCCUUUAAUUCUUUCAGUUAGCAACCUUGAAGUCGAAUCUAACCUAGAUAAUCAUAUGAAGGCUGAUGCAUAUUUCCUUUUUAGGUGCAACAAUUAGUUUUUUCUAUGCAAACUGUUUAUUGUUGCUUGGAUGUACUGAUACAGAAGGAUAUUUUUUUUUCUUUUAUGUACAAACAGUAUACGGAUGUUAGUUUAGUAGUUAUAUAGGGUUUCCUAUUCCCUCCUAUUUUCCACUAUCAAGGUUUUGUAAUUGAUAUGUAUAUCUAAUACUAGGUUUUUCCUAGGUAUUUUCCCUGACUCCCACUCCCAUCUCCCUCAGCGACUCCCAGACAGUCCAUUAUAGAUUCUCCCCUAUAAUUUUCCUCUCUGCAGAGCCUCUUAGUUUGGCUUUUUUUAAUGGGUUGAUGCUGUACACGUAUGUCUCUAUAUAUUUCAAUAAAAGUGUAUAUCAAUCAUUUAAUUUUACAAGGGAUUCUUUCUGUGUCAGCUGGACUUUAAGCCCAUUGGAUAUUUAUGUGUUCACGUGUAUAAGUAUACAAGGCAUUAUGGAAAAGUGAAGAUCCUUAAAAACAGCUUAAUAUCUGGUUCUAUCAUCAGUUCUUUGAUGUUUUUACGUUAAGCAUGUUUCAUAUGACAUGGCACUAAGCACUUCAACAGUAUGUACUGGGUGAGUUACCUGUACAGUACAAGAAGAAAAAACCCCAAAACAUGUGAGUGUGUAGAAUGGAUCCCACUAUGAGCUAGUGAGGGGACAUGCAUGGGCUUCCUCCUAACCUCUCAUCCAUGGAGGAGCAUGAGAUGGAGUUGUUAAAUUACUUUUUUUGUUACAUUAAUUGAUCAUUGCCAUCUGAAUCACCCAUACCCUUAUUAUCCGCUCAUGGAAAUAAACAUCAUUUAAAAGAAAGAAAUGGAAAAAAAAAUCUUAAAUCUCCACUAAAUUAAAUGUGCAUCUGCAUAGACUGCUUUAAUUGGCAAAAUGAAACCAUAAUAGACAAUUUAGUGGCUUUACCCUGUUUAAUUUCUGUUCCAACUAAUCACAUUGCUCAUUUCCCAUAGAUUCCAAGGGGUCUAUGGAGGUCUUCUACAGUACUGGAAUAGUGGCUUGCAUUUUUGGACACCACAUGAUUAAUAGAGUGUCCUGAAAACCACUCGACAGGUUUGUGUUUUCCCCCACAGUAUGUAUUUACUAAAGUUAAAUUCAAAAUGAAUUGAAAGGGAAUUUUAAAUGUACGGUCAAAACUGUGAAAUUAUCAACGUCAACUCUGCUUUCAGUACUGCUACACUGGC